UCUCUCCCUGCAGCUGGAGCUCCAGGUCGUCUGUUCACUGCUCUCUGUCUUCUUCUCCUAGAGGCCCAGCCUCUGUGGCCCUGUGUCCUGCAGGUAUUGGGAGAUCCACAGCUAAGACGCCAGGACCCCCUGGAAGCCUAGAAAUGGUGAGAGUGCCGGUCCAGCAUCCCGAGAGAGGUGAAGUGUCUGUGGCGGGACUCAAAAAGAUAUCACAGAGGCCUGGCCUGGAAUAAAACUAGGUGUUUGGGAAUGGGAGCUCUGCUUUCCCAUACACAGGCUGUCACACUGCCCAUUGUCCUGUGAUUCAGGUCUUCUCCCAGGGUGACAGAGGACUGAAAACUUAGAGGACAGGAGCUCUGAUUACAGACCCCCUUUUCCCACAGCUGCCACCACAAGAUUCCCACCCACUCACAAACACACACACUAGACAUUGACACGUCCACACUCCUCCCAGGACUAGGCACCACCCUCAGAAACUUCACCACAGCAUUUUUGACCCUAGUGUUUCUUGCCAAGAACCCACAAGUCUCUGCAAGUCUCCUGGCAUAUCCCCAUCCACAGAUGCUAAAUCUGCAGCAGCAACCAGUUUUCUCCACCAACCUACCAUUUUGGAUCAGCUGUUCAUAAUCUCAUCUGCCUGCACACAGUAAUAAAUCAGAGUAUGGCUGCAUUGGGACCACUAUCUGCAGCAAAAAUCAGUCCUCUCACCUGCAUUGCACUCUCUCCUGCCCAGGGAUUUAAUUUUUUAUUUUAGCUUUUAUUUUUGAUUCGGGGUACACGUGGGUUUCUUUUACAGGUAAAAUUAUGUCAUGGGGGUUUUGUGUGCAGAUUAUUUUGUUAACUUACGUACUAAGCAUAGCACCAAACAGGUAUGUUUUCUGAUCCUCUGAGUUCUCCCACCCUCCACCCUCAACUAGGCCUCAGUGUCUGUUGUUCUCCUCUUUGUGUUCGUGUGUUCUUAUUAUUUAGCUCUUACUUAUAAAUGAUAGUACAUUCAUUUGGUUUUCUGUUUCUGCAUUAUUUUAUCUUUUUUUUUUUUGGAGACGGAGUUUUACUCUUGUUGCCCAGGCUGGAGUGCAAUGGUGUGAUGUAGGCUCACCUCAACUUCCACCUCCCGGUUCAAGUGAUUCUCCUGCCUCAGCCUCAUGAGUAGCUGGGAUUACAGGUGCAUUCCACCAUGCCCAGCUAAUUUUGUAUUUUUAAUAGAGAUGGAGUUUCUCCAUGUUGGGCAGGCUGGUCUCCAACUCCUAACCUCAAGUGAUCAACCCACCUCGGCCUCCCAAAGCGCUGGGAUUA
rnacentral:lncRNA from 10 species